rnacentral:rRNA from 1 species
GAUGAACGCUGGCGGCGUGCCUAAUACAUGCAAGUCGAGCGAACAGACGAGGAGCUUGCUCCUUCGACGUUAGCGGCGGACGGGUGAGUAACACGUAGGUAACCUACCUAUAAGACUGGGAUAACUUCGGGAAACCGGAGCUAAUACCGGAUAAUAUUUCGAACCGCAUGGUUCGAUAGUGAAAGAUGGCUUUGCUAUCACUUAUAGAUGGACCUGCGCCGUAUUAGCUAGUUGGUAAGGUAACGGCUUACCAAGGCAACGAUACGUAGCCGACCUGAGAGGGUGAUCGGCCACACUGGAACUGAGACACGGUCCAGACUCCUACGGGAGGCAGCAGUAGGGAAUCUUCCGCAAUGGGCGAAAGCCUGACGGAGCAACGCCGCGUGAGUGAUGAAGGUCUUCGGAUCGUAAAACUCUGUUGUUAGGGAAGAACAAACGUGUAAGUAACUGUGCACGUCUUGACGGUACCUAAUCAGAAAGCCACGGCUAACUACGUG